GAGUUUGAUCCUGGCUCAGAACGAACGCUGGCGGCAUGCCUAACACAUGCAAGUCGAACGAGACCUUCGGGUCUAGUGGCGCACGGGUGCGUAACGCGUGGGAAUCUGCCCUUGGGUUCGGAAUAACACAGAGAAAUUUGUGCUAAUACCGGAUGAUGUCUUCGGACCAAAGAUUUAUCGCCCAAGGAUGAGCCCGCGUAGGAUUAGGUAGUUGGUGGGGUAAUGGCCCACCAAGCCGACGAUCCUUAGCUGGUCUGAGAGGAUGAUCAGCCACACUGGGACUGAGACACGGCCCAGACUCCUACGGGAGGCAGCAGUGGGGAAUAUUGGACAAUGGGCGAAGGCCUGAUCCAGCAAUGCCGCGUGAGUGAUGAAGGCCUUAGGGUUGUAAAGCUCUUUUACCAGGGAUGAUAAUGACAGUACCUGGAGAAUAAGCUCCGGCUAACUCCGUGCCAGCCGCCGCCGU
rnacentral:rRNA from 1 species